rnacentral:pre_miRNA from 1 species
AGUAAAAUUGCUAAGUUAUAUGAUAGCUAUCUUUAGACCUUUUGGGGAACUUUCAGAUUGUUUUCCAAGGUGACUGAACUAUUUUACAUUCUUACCAGUCAU